CCCUUAGAUGUCCUGGGCCGCACGCGCGCUACACUGAGUGUCUGAGAUACGAGUCUGCCUGGUCCGGCAAGGUCUGGGUAAUCGCUAAAAGACACAUCAUGCUUGGGAUAGAUUAUUGCAAAUAUUAAUCUUGAACGAGGAAUUCCUAGUAAGCGCAAGUCAACAGCUUGCGUUGAUUACGUCCCUGCCCUUUGUACACACCGCCCGUCGCUACUACUGAUUGGAUGUUUAAGCGAGGUUCUCGAACUGCUAGCGACUUAGCUUCGGUGAGGUCGCAGUGUGGGAAGUGAACCUAGCUUUGGUGUCUAGAGGAAGUAAAAGUCGUAACA
rnacentral:rRNA from 1 species